AGGUUUUCAAAAGUUAAAGGGGGGGUGAAAUGCUAUUUCAUGCAUACUGAGUUUUUUACACUGUUAAAGAGUUGGAUUCCCAUGCUAAAAACAUGGACAAAGUUUCAAAAAUUAAGUUGUACAUUUGAAGGAGUAUUUUUGUUCCAAAAAUACUCCUUCCGGUUUGUCACAAGUUUCGGAAAGUUUUUUCGAGUAUGGGUCUGUGUGACGUUAGAUGGAGCGGAAUUUCCUUAUAUGGGUCCUAAGGGCACUUCUCCCGGAAGAGCGCGCGCGCGCCCGUAGAGCAGAGCAGAGCAGAGACAUUCACUGACCAGAGCGAGAGAGCGAAAUGUCACCAAAGAAGUGUGUUUUUGGUUGCCAGGGCAAAACAACCCUGCACAGAUUGCCAAAAAAAAAAAACAGCAUUAAGGGACCAGUGGAUGGAGUUUAUUUUUACAGAGCAUCAACGGAGUUGUGCAAGUUUUUUGUUUGCCCAGUUUGACGCCGGAUUUGCAUAUCGUUUAUUUCUUAAGGAUGAUGCAGUCCCAACGAGAAAGGGUCACGAUCGUGUGUUGGAACCGCAGGCGGUGAGUAAAACUGCUUUAAAUAUCUCUGUGUUGUUAACUUAACUAUUGGCGCGUAAGCACAUCAGGUAAACAACAUGCGAUGUUGGCAUCAAACUGCACUUCCCACAUGUACACCAUUAAAGAAGAAGAAAAAAAAAAAAGACGACAUAAAGUGGAACUUAGUAAUUUUCCAAAACCGCUAAGCAAAUAUAUACAGUUUCAAUACAUACCACAUAGAAACAUCCUGCUGUAGUCGUUGCUGCUGCUGCUCUUGUUCAAUUUCGGGCUCGGGAUCUGAUUCUGGAUCAUAAAUAUACGGCUGAAUCUGACUGUUAGCCAUGGUUUGUUUUGGUUGAUGGUUUUUUCCUCACGGUAAUGUCACAGCUUCCAGACGCUCUCAACGCAAAAGCCUACUCGCGCUCGUGAUUCAUUAGCUCCGCCCACACGUCACGCCUCCAGCCGCUCGUGUUUUUCCGAAAAAAAACGGUACAGACUAUCUUUCUCUUAUAAAUAUAAUAAAACUAAAGACUUUUUGGAGAUAUGAAGGAUGCAGUACUACUCUAUAGGUACUCAAGAUUAACAGGAGAUUGAGUGAAAAUGAGCAUUUCAUCCCCCCUUUAAAGA